AACGCGAAGAACCUUACCUAGACUUGACAUCCCCUGCAUAGCCCAGAGAUGGGCGAAGUCCUUCGGGACAGGGUGACAGGUGGUGCAUGGUUGUCGUCAGCUCGUGUCGUGAGAUGUUGGGUUAAGUCCCGCAACGAGCGCAACCCUUGUCAUUAGUUGCUACCGUUAAGUUGAGCACUCUAGUGAGACUGCCGCGGUUAACGCGGAGGAAGGUGGGGAUGACGUCAAAUCAUCAUGCCCCUUAUGUCUAGGGCUACACACGUGCUACAAUGGUAGGUACAGAGAGAUGCAAGACCGCGAGGUGGAGCUAAACUCUAAAACCUAUCCCAGUUCGGAUUGUAGGCUGAAACUCGCCUACAUGAAGCCGGAGUUGCUAGUAAUCGCGAAUCAGAAUGUCGCGGUGAAUACGUUCCCGGGUCUUGUACACACGC
rnacentral:rRNA from 1 species